GCCAACUGGUGUAGUAAAUGAGGGUGAGGAUAUUUCGGCAGCUGCUAUUAGAGAAGUAAAAGAGGAGACAGGAAUUGAAACAAGAUUCUUGGAAGUCCUUGCCUUCAGGUAAGUCUGAUUUGCUUGCCAAU